AUACGGAGGGUGCAAGCGUUACUCGGAAUCACUGGGCGUAAAGCGCGCGCAGGCGGCUAUUUAAGUUGGAUGUGAAAGCCUACGGCUCAACCGUAGAACUGCAUCCAAAACUAUUUAGCUAGAGUGUGGGAGAGGAAGAUGGAAUUAGUUGUGUAGGGGUAAAAUCCGUAGAGAUAACUAGGAAUACCAAAAGCGAAGGCAAUCUACUGGAACACUACUGACGCUGAGGCGCGAAAGCGUGGGGAGCAAACGGAAUUAGAAACCCUAGUAGUCC
rnacentral:rRNA from 1 species